rnacentral:rRNA from 1 species
UACGUAGGUGGCAAGCGUUGUCCGGAAUUAUUGGGCGUAAAGCGCGCGCAGGCGGUCCUUUAAGUCUGAUGUGAAAGCCCACGGCUCAACCGUGGAGGGUCAUUGGAAACUGGGGGACUUGAGUACAGAAGAGAAGAGUGGAAUUCCACGUGUAGCGGUGAAAUGCGUAGAGAUGUGGAGGAACACCAGUGGCGAAGGCGGCUCACUGGCCCGGUACUGACGCUGAGGCGCGAAAGCGUGGGGAGCAAACAGG